rnacentral:rRNA from 1 species
CACGUAGGGUGCGAGCGUUGUCCGGAAUUAUUGGGCGUAAAGAGCUCGUAGGCGGUGUGUCGCGUCGGCCGUGAAAACCCAGGGCUCAACCCUGGGCCUGCAUUCGAUACGGGCAGACUAGAGUUCGGUAGGGGAGACUGGAAUUCCUGGUGUAGCGGUGAAAUGCGCAGAUAUCAGGAGGAACACCGGUGGCGAAGGCGGGUCUCUGGGCCGAUAUUGACACUGAGGAGCGAAAGCGUGGGGAGCGAACAGG